GUCUACGGCCAUGCCACCCUGAAGAAGCCCGAUGUCUGAUCUCGGAAGCUAAGCAGGGUCGAGCCUGGUUAGUAAGUACUUGGAUGGGAGACCACCUAGGAAGAGUAGGUGCUGUAGGCA
rnacentral:rRNA from 1 species